AUCCAGCUGACGAGUCCCAGAUGAGACGAAAAGCGCGUCUUGUAU
rfam:Schistosoma mattheei strain Denwood, Zambia genome assembly, scaffold: SMTD_scaffold0002183